GAAAAGAUAAGCUAAAAUUAAGCUAUUAGGUUCAUACCCUAAUUAUAGAUCUAAAAUCUUCUUUUUA
rnacentral:tRNA from 1 species